CUGGCGGCAUGCUUANNCAUGCAAGUCGAACGGUAACAGGAGAGAGCUUGCUCUCUUGCUGACGAGUGGCGGACGGGUGAGUAAUACAUGGGAAUCUGCCCUGAGGUGGGGGAUAACCCGGGGAAACUCGGGCUAAUACCGCAUGAUCUCUUCGGAGCAAAGUGGGGGACCUUCGGGCCUCACGCCUUGGGAUGAGCCCAUGUCUGAUUAGCUAGUUGGUGGGGUAAAGGCCUACCAAGGCAACGAUCAGUAGCCGGCCUGAGAGGGUGUACGGCCACACUGGGACUGAGACACGGCCCAGACUCCUACGGGAGGCAGCAGUGGGGAAUAUUGGACAAUGGGGGCAACCCUGAUCCAGCAAUGCCGCGUGUGUGAAGAAGGCCUGCGGGUUGUAAAGCACUUUUAUCGGGGAAGAAUAGGUUGUCGUUAAUAGCGCCAACACUUGACAUUACCCGUUGANUAAGCACCGGCUAACUCCGUGCCAGCAGCCGCGGUAAUACGGAGGGGGUUAGCGUUGUUCGGAAUUACUGGGCGUAAAGCGCACGUAGGCGGACCAUUAAGUCNGGGUGAAAUCCCGGGGCUCAACCCCNGAACUNCUGUCGAUNNUACUGGGUGGUCUGGAGUUCNAGAGAGGUGAGUGGAAUUCCNAGUGUANAGGUGAAAUUCNUANAUAUUNNNNGAACNCNGUGGCNAANNGGCUCACUGGCUCNNUACUGACGCUGAGGUGCNAAAGCGUNGGGANCAAACAGGAUUAGAUACCCNGGUAGUCCCGCC
rnacentral:rRNA from 1 species